rnacentral:snRNA from 1 species
GGGUCAUCUGGCUGUGAUAUCUGUCACCUCAUUGAUCUCCAGGGUUGAGUCAGCUGAUGUGGCUGGUGAGGCAGAUGUCCCCUUCUUUUUGCCGCACUCCAUGUGUGUCAUUGUCAAUGCUCAGUCCAAAAGGACAGCCUUUCCCCAAUCGAGGAGGACCAUUCUUUGGAUAAGGGUAGAGAAGUAGCUCACCCCACUACUAGACCCUGCAAAUACAUUCUCAGGGCCCAUUUGAAGGAGCAAGUAGGCUAGUCAAGCGUCCAACUCCAGACAAAUCCAAAUAAGGGGUGUCACACAAGCAAACAAAUAAAAACAACCAGUGAGUUUAUUAUUU